rnacentral:rRNA from 1 species
UACGUAGGGUCCGAGCGUUGUCCGGAGUUAUUGGGCGUAAAGAGCUCGUAGGCGGUGUGUCGCGUCGGCCGUGAAAACCUGGGGCUUAACUCUGGGCUUGCGGUCGAUACGGGCAUCACUGGAGUUCGGCAGGGGAGACUGGAAUUCCUGGUGUAGCGGUGAAAUGCGCAGAUAUCAGGAGGAACACCGGUGGCGAAGGCGGGUCUCUGGGCCGAUACUGACGCUGAGGAGCGAAAGCGUGGGGAGCAAACAGG